rnacentral:rRNA from 1 species
UCCAGACUCCUACGGGAGGCAGCAGUGAGGAAUAUUGGUCAAUGGGCGCAAGCCUGAACCAGCCAAGUCGCGUGAGGGAUGACGGUCCUAUGGAUUGUAAACCUCUUUUGUCGGGGAGCAAGGCCCGCCACGUGUGGCGGGAAGGAGAGUACCCGAAGAAAAAGCAUCGGCUAACUCCGUGCCAGCAGCCGCGGGAAUACGGAGGAUGCGAGCGUUAUCCGGAUUUAUUGGGUUUAAAGGGUGCGUAGGCGGAAUGCCAAGUCAGCGGUAAAAUCGCGGGGCUCAACCUCGCUCCGCCGUUGAAACUGGCAGACUUGAGUUGGCGAGAAGUACGCGGAAUGCGCGGUGUAGCGGUGAAAUGCAUAGAUAUCGCGCAGAACUCCGAUUGCGAAGGCAGCGUACCGGCGCCAGACUGACGCUGAGGCACGAAAGCGUGGGGAUCGAACAGGAUUAGAUACCCGCGUAC